GAUGAUGUCUUCUCAUUCUGGCUCAACAAGGAUCCAGAUGCUGUAGAGGGUGGUGAGAUUGUUUUUGGUGGUGUUGAUGAAAAACACUAUAAGGGGAAACAUACAUAUGUUCCAAUUACCCAAAAAGGUUACUGGCAGUUCAGUAUGGGAGAUUUUCUAAUUGGAGACCAUUCAACAGGUGUCUGCCAAGGGGGUUGUGCUGCAAUUGUGGAUUCAGGAACAUCCUUGCUUGCUGGUCCAACAGCUAUUGUG
rnacentral:misc_RNA from 1 species